UCUAGAUUCUACGGGAGGCAGCAGUGGGGAAUAUUGGACAAUGGGGGAAACCCUGAUCCAGCGACGCCGCGUGAGUGAAGAAGUAUUUCGGUAUGUAAAGCUCUAUCAGCAGGGAAGAAAAUGACGGUACCUGACUAAGAAGCCCCGGCUAACUACGUGCCAGCAGCCGCGGUAAUACAA
rnacentral:rRNA from 1 species